rnacentral:rRNA from 1 species
ACAUAUAAGAGGUCCAGCCUGCCCAGUGACCUAGUUCAACGGCCGCGGUAUCCUAACCGUGCGAAGGUAGCGUAAUCACUUGUUCUUUAAAUGAGGACUAGUAUGAAUGGCACCACGAGGGUUAAACUGUCUCCUUUUUUUAAUCAGUGAAACUAAUCUCCCCGUGAAGAAGCGGGGAUUCUUUUAUAAGACGAGAAGACCCUAUGGAGCUUUAAACAAGUUAACACCUGCUACUAAUCUUCACUUUCCUGAACCACCACAUUAAGUAUAGCACCUCUGAUUAACAGUUUUCGAUUGGGGUGAUCAUGGAGCAAAAAUCAACCUCCACGACGAAAAGGAACACCUCCUUGAGCCAAAAGCUACAACUUUAAGCACUAAAAAACUAACGCACUUUGACCCAAUUCUUUGAGCAACGAACCAAGUUACCCUAGGGAUAACAGCGCAAUCCACUUUAAGAGCUCCUAUCGACAAGUGGGUUUACGACCUCGAUGUUGGAUCAGGGUAUCCCAGUGGUGCAGCCGCUACUAAAGGUUCGUUUGUUCAACGAUUAAAACCCU